CCCUCUCUCACCGUUUCAAUCUUUCGUUUCUCUUUCCAGACGUCACCGAAGCUUUUUUCUCACUGCCUCGUUCUUCAUCUAGAGGGAGAAAGUGAGUAUCCAUGGUUCAUUUCUCUGAAGAUAUGGAAGCAGUCUCUCUGUGUUAUCAUCAUGCUUCUGUUUGUGUUUAAUAUAGCUGAAAGGGGCGGAAGGUUAUCACCGGGGAUUGGCUGAUGGGGAGAACAUCGUUUUCUUAAUUUUUUUGAUUUCUUUAGUUAAGGCAAAAAGGAUCGUAGCCUGACAUGUUCAUCAUAUGGUUCAAUCACAAAUGUCUGGGGGAAAUUACCAAUUAGAUGCAAGAAAUAU